rnacentral:lncRNA from 1 species
UCCUGUGGAUACCUGUAAAGGCAGGAUGCUUGUACUGCUGAUUCAGAAUCUAUUCAGACCCAGAUCUAGGGAUUAAAUUGGAUUCAACCUCAGUUACAGGUUGGAAGCAAAAGAGAAAGCGAUUAAAAUAUGUGAAUUGAUUACAGGCAUUUGUUUGUUAUUUCUAAAAUCAGUUUACGUUAAUUUCAGCAUAUGAACUAG